UGGGAGCAAUGAUAAGAGUCCAAAAGGUUUCACUCACUUAACUGAACUCCUGUGAUGUCACUUCCUCUUGGCUGCCUGACCAA
ensembl:snoRNA